rnacentral:rRNA from 1 species
UACUCCUACCGGGAGGCAGCAGUGGGGAAUUUUGGACAAUGGGCGCAAGCCUGAUCCAGCCAUGCCGCGUGCGGGAAGAAGGCCUUCGGGUUGUAAACCGCUUUUGUCAGGGAAGAAACGGUCUGGGUUAAUACCCUGGGCUAAUGACGGUACCUGAAGAAUAAGCACCGGCUAACUACGUGCCAGCAGCCGCGGUAAUACGUAGGGUGCAAGCGUUAAUCGGAAUUACUGGGCGUAAAGCGUGCGCAGGCGGUUGUGCAAGACAGAUGUGAAAUCCCCGGGCUCAACCUGGGAACUGCAUUUGUGACUGCACAGCUAGAGUACGGUAGAGGGGGAUGGAAUUCCGCGUGUAGCAGUGAAAUGCGUAGAUAUGCGGAGGAACACCGAUGGCGAAGGCAAUCCCCUGGACCUGUACUGACGCUCAUGCACGAAAGCGUGGGGAGCAAACAGGAUUAGAUACCCUGGUAGUCCACGCCCUAAACGAUGUCAACUGGUUGUUGGGAAGGUUCCUUCUCAGUAACGUAGCUAACGCGUGAAGUUGACCGCCUGGGAGACUGCCUAA